UUAAUCUUUAUAUUUAUAUCAAUAAAGAACUAGGAAAACGUAACGUCAGAAUGUGGAAACUUAUUUUAACUUUUUCACUUCUCGUGGUACUGAAUGCAGGUAUAUCCACGUGUCAAAGAUGUAGUGGUUGUCCGGAUCUUGGGUUAACGCCUUGUAUUAUUAGUCCAUGCGACAAUCAUAAUUGUCCAAGCAACAAAAGAUGCUGUGAAGACUUAUGUAGUAAAGGAUGUAAAUACAAGUGUAUCGACUGAUGGUAUGUCUUGUGACAUGUCAACUGGUCACAUGUAUUUUCUUCUACAGACAAAAACAACAUUUGAAACUUUUUCCAAACCAUGUAUUCGUACAGAAGUAAAGAUUUUCUUUUCUGAAA